rnacentral:rRNA from 1 species
ACGGAAGGCAGCAGUGGGGAAUAUUGGGCAAUGGGCGGAAGCCUGACCCAGCAACGCCGCGUGAGGGAAGAAGGUUUUCGGAUUGUAAACCUCUGUCCUUGGUGACGAAGGAAGUGACGGUAGCCAAGGAGGAAGCCCCGGCUAACUACGUGCCAGCAGCCGCGGUAAUACGUAGGGGGCGAGCGUUGUCCGGAAUGACUGGGCGUAAAGGGCGUGUAGGCGGCGCUGUAAGUCCGGAGUGAAAGUCCUGGUUUCAAGGUGGGAAUUGCUUUGGAGACUGCAGAGCUUGAGUGCGGAAGAGGUAAGUGGAAUUCCCGGUGUAGCGGUGAAAUGCGUAGAGAUCGGGAGGAACACCAGUGGCGAAGGCGACUUACUGGGCCGUAACUGACGCUGAGGCGCGAAAGCGUGGGGAGCGAACAGGAUUAGAUACCCUGGUA